ACACAAAAACCCUGCUGUUCUUGGGGACCAGAGCCAGGCUAGUAGGUCUAAACUUGAGAAUUCUUCAAGCUCAACUGCAGAUACUAUAAUCAUCGAGCAUGAUUCAAUACCAGAUUAUGGAGAACCAAUUCUCAGACCGCCUGAAUCAACAGAAGACAGAUCAUGAAAGCCAUGCGGGGCAUGCAAGGCAGAGGUGGCAAAAUUAAUGGAGGAGAAGGACAAACUGCAGGAUGUGCUGUGUGUUAUCAGUGGUGACCACAUCAAGGCGUUAAAAAGCUUUCUGGACAAAGUGGAACAGAUCCAACCUCAGACUGGUGUUUGGGCUCUAAAAAAAACAGAUGUGGGAAGCAAGAGCUGUAUCCAGAAAGUGGCCUCUUCCUCACCUCUACCCGCCUGGCUGCAAUCCGUGCGGAAGCAAGGAAGGACUGCCUUUGCUUAUUCCAUCUUCUUUUCGGUGAAUUCUUUAAUGCAGAGGAGUGCCAAAAUGCUGUGGCAUUUGGGAAACACGGAAAGGUGCCAGAUGGAAAGACGGUGCUGGAUAAGACCAAAGUCGUUGGGAUUCUAACUUACAUCAUGCGCUGUAGUACACUGGAUGGAUGGACACCAGUUGAGAAAAGUAAGAUCAAAAAAGCUUUCAUAAACAAAUGCCGCAUGAGGGGCACAAACACUGUGUAAAUUCUUGAAUGUGGUAUACUGGAGUGAUGGACAUUUGUUGAGGUGACCCUGUUCAAGAAAGCCCUGUAUACAAAUGCUGCAUGAGGGCCUUAAAGACUGCAAGCUGUUGAAUGUUGUGCAUUGUUGUAAAGCUGUGCUAAUACUGCUCAAAACACUGUUAGAGACACUGUUAUUCUAUUUUUAAAAACAUAGCUUUACUGAGAAGAGGCACAUUUAUGUUCAGAUUUUAUAAUGAUGACAAUGUUGG